rnacentral:lncRNA from 1 species
UGCCUUUGUUGUGUGUUUCUACCCAACCAGUCAGCGCCUCUACCCAGUCUUCGAAGUCCAUGUCGUCAACGGCUGGUAGUAACUCCUUGACUGGUUGUGACCCGUGGGCUAUCUACAACCACGAGACGAGGUUCCCGACUCUGGAAACAACCGCUGUACUGGUCGUGGUCUGUGGGCUGAGUAUGACCCCGAGGCUGGCUGCAGCUCCGGCAUGGACUUCGAGCCUGUGAGUGGGAGCAUGACCUGGUCUAGUUGCGCCCGCAAGACUAGAUAUUAUCUGGAGACUGGAAAGCGCCCCUAUACUUGCACCGGCCCUGGGAGUGCGUGUGUUGCUGAGACUGGCAGCGCCCCCUGGUUGGAAAUGACACCUGGAUUGUCUGCGACCCCAUGACGUCAUGAUUACGAUACUGGCAGGGCCCCUGGAUGAAUAGCGGCCCUGACCUGACAGCGAACCCUGGGCUGCCUGCAGCCCCUGAACUGGCUGAAAUCCUAGCACACUAUUGUAAUCCAGACACUGGCAACUACCCGAGCACUGGUGGUAGCGGCCACUGGACGGUCUCCAGGCCUGGGACUGGGUGUGGUCCUGAGACAGAUGUGAUCUGAAAGCUAGCAGUGCUCCAUGACGUUCAGCGAUAGUGCCGCACGGUUUCACUCUGAUCCCUAGACUGACUGCGGCUCCAGAUUUCCCGUGCGCCAUAAUCUGGCUGGGAGCUCGGGACUGUCUGCGAUUCAGCCAAUGCCAUUGAUUCCGAAGCUACCUGUAAUCUCGACAGUGGCAGAAAUCCAGGAACGCGCAGCAAUCCUUGGGCUUGCAGUGGCUCGGGACGUGCUCCCGCCCUCGGAAUGA